UACGUAGGGGGCAAGCGUUGUCCGGAAUCAUUGGGCGUAAAGAGCGUGUAGGCGGCCCGAUAAGUCCGCCGUGAAACGUCCAGGGCUCAACCCUGGAAUGCCGGUGGAAACUGUCGGGCUGGAGUCCGGAAGAGGCGAGUGGAAUUCCGUGGUGUAGCGGUGAAAUGCGCAGAUAUCAGGAGGAACACCAAUUGCGAAGGCAGCUCGCUGGGACGUUACUGACGCUGAGACGCGAAAGCGUGGGGAGCAAACAGG
rnacentral:rRNA from 1 species